rnacentral:rRNA from 1 species
CAACCGUUAAACGGCCGCGGUAUCCUGACCGUGCAAAGGUAGCAUAAUCACUUGUUCUUUAAAUAGGGACUUGUAUGAAUGGCCACACGAGGGUUUUACUGUCUCUUACUUCCAAUUU